rnacentral:rRNA from 1 species
CCUACGGGCGGCAGCAGUGGGGAAUAUUGGGCAAUGGGCGAAAGCCUGACCCAGCAAUGCCGCGUGAAUGAAGAAGGUCUUAGGAUUGUAAAAUUCUGUCCUAUGGGAAGAAAAAAAUGACGGUACCAUAGGAGGAAGCCCCGGCUAACUACGUGCCAGCAGCCGCGGUAAUACGUAGGGGGCGAGCGUUGUCCGGAAUUACUGGGCGUAAAGGGAGCGUAGACGGUUAUGUAAGUCUGGAGUGAAAGCCCGGGGCCCAACCCCGGGACUGCUUUGGAAACUGUGUAACUGGAGUACAGGAGGGGCAGGCGGAAUUCCUGGUGUAGCGGUGAAAUGCGUAGAUAUCAGGAGGAACACCGGCGGCGAAGGUGGCCUGCUGGACUGAAACUGACGUUGAGGCUCGAAAGCGUGGGGAGCAAACAGGAUUGGAUACCCGUGUAGUU